GCUCCACCCAGAGGCCAACAGUACACAUUUGGGGACAGAGAGAGUGGAAGAGUUGCCCCUUCUCCAGGGCCACUGGGACUAGGGGCAAAAGGGAGGUCAUUUUCUGAAUGCUUUAGAUACAGCAGCUGAAACAAAACCAGAGAGGAUUCUGGGAGCCAGAGAGGAGCAGAGACAGAUGAUUCUUUGCCCUCCUCCUUCCUCUAGUCACUUCAGGAGGAGAAGGACAAAAAGGGGGAAAGCUGAGGGGACAGAGCCAGAGCAGCACAAUGGGACCUCCCUGGAGCCAGGAGAGUUCUCCAGAAGAGAGGCUUCCCACUGAAUGGAGCAGACAGUUGACAAGAGCCAGAUGGGUGCUGCUAGCUGUCCUGCUCUGUGGCCUGCUCCUUGGUUCUUCUAUGCUUUGGUUUUACAUCUUCCGGAACUGUGGUCCUUGUCCAUGUGAGACACCUGUGUGUAUGGAGCUCCUGGACCAUUACCUGGCCUCUGGAAACAGAAGCGUGGCCCCCUGCACUGACUUUUUCAGCUUUGCCUGUGAAAAAGCCAAUGGGACCAGUGACUCUUUCCAAGCACUUACAGAAGAGAACAAGAGCCGACUGUGGAGACUGUUGGAGGCCCCAGGGUCCUGGCACCUAGGAUCUGGAGAGGAGAAAGCCUUCCAAUUUUAUAACUCCUGCAUGGACACAGAUGCCAUUGAAGCUUCAGGGUCUGGUCCACUCAUACAAAUUAUUGAAGAGCUUGGAGGCUGGAACAUCACUGGCAACUGGACGUCCUUGGACUUCAACCAAAAUCUGAGGCUUCUGAUGAGUCAGUAUGGCCACUUUCCAUUCUUCCGAGCCUAUCUACGACCUCAUCCAGCCCCUCCACAUACACCAAUCAUCCAGAUAGACCAGCCGGAGUUUGACAUUCUUCUCCAGCAAGAGCAGGAACAGAAGGUCUAUGCUCAGAUCCUACGGGAAUAUGUGACAUACCUGAAUAGGCUGGGAACAUUACUGGGGAGUAACCCACAGGAAGCACAACAGCAUGCCUCCUGGUCCAUCGUCUUUACCUCCCGGCUGUUCCAGUUUCUGAGGCCACAGCAGCAGCAGCAGGCACAGGACAAGCUCUUUCAUGUGGUUACUAUUGACGAACUGCAGGAAAUGGCCCCAGCCAUCGACUGGUUAUCCUGUUUACAAGCAAUAUUCACACCGAUGUCACUGAAUUCCUCCCAGACCCUCGUGGUCCAUGACCUAGACUACUUGAGAAACAUGUCACAACUUGUAGAAGAAGGGCUGCUGAAUCACAGGGAGAGUAUACAGAGCUACAUGAUCUUGGGGCUGGUGGAUACCCUUUCACCAGCACUGGACACUAAAUUCCAGGAGGCACGCAGAGAACUGAUCCAGGAACUACGGAAACUGAAAGAACGACCACCCCUGCCAGCCUACCCUCGAUGGAUGAAGUGUGUGGAACAGACGGGAGCCUUCUUUGAGCCUACUCUGGCAGCUCUGUUUGUUCGUGAAGCUUUUGGCCCAAGCAUUCAAAGUGCUGCCAUGGAAUUAUUUGCUGAGAUAAAGGAUGCUGUCAUCAUACGCCUCAAAAAGCUUUCCUGGAUAAGUGAGGAGACCCAGAAAGAGGCCUUGAACAAGCUUGCCCAACUGCAGGUGGAGAUGGGGGCACCAAAACGGGCCGUGAAGCCUGACAUAGCCACACAGGAAUAUAAUGAUAUACAACUUGGUCCUAGUUUCCUUCAAUCUUUCCUGAGCUGUGUACGAUCCCUCCGGGCCAGAAAUGUCCAGAGCUUCUUGCAGCCCUUUCCCUACCACAGAUGGCAGAAAUCUCCCUGGGAGGUCAAUGCUUACUAUUCAAUAUCUGACCAUAUGGUGGUCUUCCCUGCUGGUCUUCUCCAACCUCCAUUCUUCCACCCUGGCUACCCCAGAGCUGUGAACUUUGGCGCUGCUGGCAGCAUCAUGGCCCAUGAAUUGUUGCAUAUCUUCUACCAACUCUUACUCCCUGGGGGCUGCCCAGCCUGUGACACCCAUGUCCUACAAGAAGCACUUCUAUGCCUGGAGCGCCAUUAUGCUGCCUUCCCUUUGCCUAGCAUAUCCUCGUUCAAUGGUUCUCACACACUCCUGGAAAAUGCUGCAGACAUAGGAGGCGUAGCCAUUGCAUUCCAGAUGGCAACUUGGGACCCUCUUCCUACGCUGUAGAUCCCCCACCUACUAAGACAUCUGUAGGUCUUUCAGCAUAUAGCAAGAGGAUAGUAGAGCACACUGGGGAGUUGACCCUGCCCAACCUGGAUCUUAGCCCCUAUCAACUUUUCUUCCGAAGCUAUGCCCAGGUAAUGUGUAGGGGGCUGAGCUCACAAGACCCUCAGGACCCUCACAGUCCUCCAAGCCUUCGAGUCCAUGGGCCCCUGAGCAAUACUCCAGAUUUUGCCAAACAUUUUCAUUGUCCACGUGGGACCCUUCUGAAUCCCUCUGCCCGCUGCAAGCUCUGGUAAAACUUGGCUACCAAAGAGACUGAUGUAAAUGCAUGGGCUGCUUGUGAGUCCAUCCUUGAAGUCAAAAUAAAUCUCUCUCUUCUUUCUGUUCCCAAAUAAAAGCGUGUAUUUAGCUUUU